rnacentral:lncRNA from 10 species
ACGCAAUUUCACCAUGUUACCCAGGCUGGUCUGGCACUCCUUGGCUCAAGCAAUAGCAGUCUGCCUGCUGCAGCUCUCCAAGUGCUGGGAUUACAGACUCUUUUGCUAUCUGGAAACCCAUGUCCACCUCUGACUUCCACUCAAAAUUGCUUUCCUCACAGUCUGACUGCGAGAGUUGUGAAAAAUUGGGAUGUGCUUCUGAGGUGGGCUGUGGAAUGCCAUUACCCUCAGGUGACUACAGAUGUGUUAACACCCAGCAUGUUCCGGUAGGAGACUUUCUGGAUGGGGAAGAUUUCCAGGUGUGAAUCAUGGCAAUACAGUGAAAGACAGUGAUUUACUGCUUUUGAGGGCGUGCAUGUAUAUGAUUAACGGAUGGAAGUGCAGGACUCCAAGAUUUACUUCCUUCCCUUUCCAGCAGAAUUACCUGAGACGAGUAAAAUCUACUGGUGGAGUCACUCCAUUAUUCUUAUCUGUGGAGAUCUAGAUCUUGAUUUGAAAGUUUCUGAGAAAAUCUUCAGCUCAGACUUGAGGGUCAACUUUACCAGCUGAAGGAUCUGCAUUUACUGCUCAACCACAUCUAAUUUGAUGUCCUCUGCAGAUUUAAAAUGUGUGCCUUCUUUUCCGUCACCAAGUCAUCCCUGGGUUACUACUGAACAUCCUUCUCAAUUCCCCCCGACCCAUGGAUGGCUGUUCUCCAUUGUCUGUUUCACCAGAUGUCCUCAAAACAAACAGACAGAAGAAGGAAGUGGCUAAUGGAGCUGUGGAGUCCAAGUGUGACUGCCAAGAGGAAUCCAGCAAAGCCAAAAAGCCCAAGCAUGUAGCCCUGCCCGAAGCACGCCACACGCAUGGAAAACCCAGAGGAAAUGAGUGAGGAUCAAUGGGAAGAAGAGAGCCAGCCAGGUUCGAUGCCUUCUCCAUCCGUCAGUGAGGGUGUGGAGAGCCUGCAGGCGUGUGCCUCCCUCUGUAACUUGCUAUUCCUUGUGUAAUGUCAAGUGGAAGUGUGAAGCACCACAAACUGCUCUGAGCAGAGCCCACUUCCCUUCACCCACGGAGAGCGUGAAGCAGUUACACCAACAUCAAUCAAGGAAAACCCACAGGCUGAGCUCACACGGUUGAAGCAGGAAGUUGAAGAUUUGUCCAGGAGCAGAUAGCUGAAGAGAGAGAGAGAGAAGAGAGAACGGCUUACAGCUCAGGUCCUCUCUCCAUGCUUAGGAACCACUACAAAUGCUACUGCCUUGAGUCUCAUUUUGUUUCCCUCUGGAAACCACAUGUGUACCUUGUUUGCAACAGUAUGGUUCUGGAGACCAGAAGGCCAAAAUCAAAAGUAUGGGCAGGCUUGAUUUCUUUAGAAGACUCCAGCGGAGAACUGUGUCUCCUUGCUUCUGAUUCUACAUCUCCAUCCAUGGGCCACUGUUUCAGCAACCUCAGCCAGUGCAACACAACCUCAGCCAAGAAGAGUAUGCAGAGAAAGGAGUCCCCUACCUGCCACAAAACUGUUGUCUGAAAACUGUCUCAUAUUGUCUCAAGUUGUCAUUCAUUGUGAAUUAGACCUGUUUAACAUGUAAUCUGCAACAUGCUUCACUGUCUAAUUUUCCAGAGCCCCUCAUAUAAGGAACUGUAUUAUUGGUAUAAUCAUCAUGGUGAAGAAGUUGGUAUGUGGGGGAGAGAUGACAGAAACAGAGAGUAAGUCAGAGCUGGCUGCCUGACAGAUAAAAAGGAAAUGACCAAAAAAAAAAAAAAAGACACAGAAGAAUACUUUGUUGUCCACACAGAAAAGGGAAGUGUAGGUAAGACAGCAGUAGACUAAGAUUCUUAAGACUCAAGUUCUAGUCUUAUUUAUUAGCUAUGGGAGGCCUUGAGGGAGUUCUAGAAUUAAGUGAUCUCUCUUUAUAAAAUAGGAACAGUAAUAACUUCCUGGCUAACUCCCUGGCUGUCUCACAAUGCUGUAGUAGUAAGAAAUAAUUUUAUAAUUAAAGACUAUUUUAGGGCUGAUUACAUUUUUGGGCAGUGGCUCAUACAUGUAAUUUCAACAUUUUGGGAGGCCAAGGUGGGCGGAUUGCUUGAGCCCAGGAAUUCAAGACCAGGCUGGGCAACACAGACCUUGUCACUACAAAAGAAAAAAACAUUAGCUAGGCGUGGUGAUGUAUGCCUGUGGUCCCAGCUACUCAGGAAGCUGAGACAGGAGGAUCACCUGAGCCUGGGAGGUCGAGGCUACAGUGAGCCAUGAUCACACUACUGCACUCCAGCCUGGGAAACAGAGUGAGACUCUGUCUCAAAAAAAAAAAAAAAGGAAUAUUUUACACUUCAAGGUUCUAUACAAAUGUAAAAUAUCAUUCUAUUACUUAUUUAUAAUGCUGAUUAUUCUUUAAAUGACUUUAAAAUGUUAAUCUCUGCUUGAGCCUACGGAGAAGUAUGUAACAAAUUUGUGAAGGAUUGGCAUUAAACAUAGUCAAAAUAAAACAUAGAAAUUAUGGUAAAUAAUUUAACUGGUAAAAUAAUCUAAGUGGUAGUUCUCAGGUAAGUGGAAAUUCGAUUAGCUGAUUGUUUAGGAUUCUUGGUUAUAAGUGACAGAGACCUGACUAAAAGUACAUGAAGCACAUAACUGAGAAGGUUGUGGUAUGGCUCAGCAGAAAUGGGAAAAUCUUGGGACUGGUUCGUGUUUUAUUUACAUUAUCUUUGUUCCCAGGCAGUCUCUGCAUGUAAGUGGCAAAGAUGACUGUCUGAAAAUAUAUACCUACUUUUUUAAAGGGCUAUCUCAAGCCAUUCUGGAGAAGCACCAAAAGCCACUUUGCUUAUACUGGGAGAAUAGUUUGCUUUCCCUAAUUUGUGAUGAGUGAAACACUGAACAGAGACAUAGAAUAAUAUUCUGUAGUUCAGGGUUGGUGUAAUAUGGCCAGUGGGCGGAAUCUGGUCCUCAGACUGAUUUUGCAAAUAAUCUUAUAGAAACACAGCAACACCCAUUCAUUACAUGUUGUUUAUGGUUGCUUUGGGGUUACAAUGGCAGAGUUGAGUAGUUGUGACAGAGAUCACUAGGCUCACCACAUCUGAGAUAUGUACUGACUGACCCUGUACAGAAAGUUUGCUGCUCUUAGAGGAAUGUGUGUUUCUAGUGUCAGCAAUAAACUUCUUGGAUUUGUUUUGUUUUCUCAUCUUUACAUGAUAGUUGCAGACUAGUUGAUCCUUGUGACCUGUUUUUGAAUGCCACUGUGUAUUCUGUCAGGGCCCUCUGAUUCUGUUUCUUAUGGUGCUGAAUGCACAAUUUAAUGCCCUGGAAUUUCCUUCUGUCUUCUGCUAAACUCAUGCCUCUUCAGAUAGUUAAAAUCCUGUUCUACCUUAGAAGUCUCCAGAGUUAUUUUCCUAAAUUAAGAAGAACUGGCUUUGAAGUUACUCAUUAUGCCACACACAAUGGUUGAAAAGAGCAUCUCUUAUGUACUGUGUAUAUUUCAGCAUCCACUCAGCUUCUUAGGUAGAAAAGGAAGAGUCUUCCACAGUGUAUUUUAUCCAUAUUUGGGUCAGAAACUCUUCUUUACCACGGAGCGUGAUGGAAGAAAGAUAUGGGAUGGUAACAGUAGGCCAGGGAUGUAAUAAUCACAAAAUUUGAGAUAUUUUGUGACUGGUGACUCACGCCUGUGAUCCCAGCAUUUUGGGAGGCCAAAGCGGGCGGAUCACCUGAGGUCAGGAGUUCAAGACCAGCUUGGCCAAUGUAGUGAAACCUCAUCUCUACUAAAAAAAUAUAAAAAUUAGCUGGGUGUGGUGGUGCACACCUGUAAUCCUAGCUACUCAGGAGGCUGAGGCAGGAGAAUAGCUUGAACCAAGGAGGUGGAGGUUGCAGUGAGCUGAGAUUGUGCCACCACUGCAUUCCAGUCUGGGUGACAGAGCGAGACUCUGUCUCAAAAAAAAAAAAAAAAAAAAUCUAGAAAAAGAUCUCCAAGAUUCAAUCAUCUAAUUAUUUCUUUUAAAAAUGAGAAAAAUGACUCCUGGUCAGCUUUUACCUUCUUUUUCCAACUGUCUUGACAAUACUUUCAUAUUGGGCUUUUAAAGUCUCAAGUAAUAGGUUUUUAAAACCUCAGCUGAUAAAAGUAUAAAAAUAAAGUUAAAACAUAUUAAAGACAAAACCCAAGAAUCAGCUUCCUCUUCCUUCAUUACUCUUGCAUGGGUGUUGGCUCUAAUUUCUCCAUCUAGUUAGGCAGUCCUUUGCUUUUUAUUGCUUGUUUAUUGAUGACAUUUGCCAUUUGUAGCAAUAGUAAUAGAAUCAUCUAUAUAUUUGUGGCCUUGUUGAAUGUAGAAAAAGGAUAGUGGCAUUUUCUAAUUGUGUAACCCUAUAACACCUUGACGGGGGACUACAGUUCAUAUGCUGGACCUUUUGUGUUUGUUCAUGGCGGGUGGGUUGCUUUAAUAUACUUAGCACAUUGUCCUAAUUGCCAUCCUUUUGGGGAGGGCUAUAUAUCCAAGCUAAUAUGGUAGCAUUUUUGUUUUAACAUAGAGCUGACCCAAGGUAGACGUAAGUGUUGUUCAUUUUUGCCUAAUACUAAUAAAAUUACCUAAUUGUUGAAGCUUGGAGCUUGAAUCUAGGCAUUUUAUUUCAUUUCAAGUACACCCUAGUAUUUUAAAGCAUAAAUAUCCUACUAUCCUCAACAACUUUAGAACAAAAAUAAAUAUUUUAACAAGAAAAAAGCAUGCCAUGACAAGCUGUAACUUAGUAAAGAAAGACAAGGAAUGGUCUCUAUAGACCGAGAAAAAAUAGGUCCUCAGAUAUAUUUAUACCAAAGGAAUGUUAUGAAUGUAAAAAACAGUUUGACUCCCCCCCCCCCGCCAAAAAAAAACUCCACAACCCUAUAUUUUGUUAUCACAAGACUGUUUUAGUGAAUAAAACAGUAUGAAUUGGUUUUACCUGUUUCCAUUUAAUACUUAUUAACUUUAUAAUCGUAUAGCCUGAGGGUUUUAACUUCAAGUACAGCAUGAUGACUAUAAUAGUUUUACACAAGGCAAAUGUGAAAAACAGAAGUAAUUUCUUUUAAAAAGUGUGAAAUAUCUAAAAGGUAUGACUUCAAUACAUCAACUCAGGUGAGACAGACAUGUAACUUCUUUUUCCAUGUUUAAACCUAAUAUUGCUUUUGUGCCUCUGAAGGCUCGGAGUUUCCAUGCCUUCUUAGGACAUGCCACCCUCUCCACACCUGGAUGUGUUCACCAACCCAGAAGCUCUUGGAACCCCAUCAUUUGGGGUUUUUAUGGAGUCCCCAUUAAGUAGGUAUGACUGAUUAAAUCACUGGCCAUUGGUGGUUGACUCAAUCUCCAGCCUCUCUUCCCUCUCUGAAGGUGAAGGGGUGGGAAGGUGAGGCUAAGUUCCAACCCUCGGAUCACAGGGUUGGUUCCUCUGCAACCAGGCUUCAUCGUGAAACAAUACAGGGCCCACCGAGAGUCACCCCAUUAGCAAACUCAGAUGUGAUUGAAAGGGGCUUAUUAUGAAUAUCAAAAGACAUUUCUCUUUCUCCUAUUACUCAGACAGUUACAAGGGUUUCAGAAGCUCUUGCACCAGGAACUGGGAACAAAGACCAAAUAUAUAUGUCUUCUUCUAUUACAAUGUCACAGGUGUGACAGAGUAGGUAAAUGGAGUCUCAGAGAGUCCCCAGAGUAUUCCAUGGAGCCACAAAAUGAAGAAUAAAUGGAUGGUUCUCCCCAUGAUCAAAAGUGGCCUGAAAAUACUUGAGAAUGAGUCAUAACUUAAAAGGCUGUAUAGUAGAAAAGAAUGCACAGAGGACCGAAUGUAAAAGAAGGCACCCCAGUCUCAGCUAGUGUGGAUGCAUGCCAGUGUAGAAAGAUGCUAGUGUGGCUACAUUGGUGCACUGAAGACCAAACUCCUGCAUGGCCCCACAUCCUUGAUACCUUAGAUCUAUAUCAUCCCCUAAAACUUAGGUGUUAUGACAUUCAGGAUAUGCUACCCCAUCAUUUUUUAGGCUGAAGGAAUUUGAGAAAACAGAAGCAGGAAUGUAAUUGCCCAGUGGGUUCUUCCUGCCCUGUGCACAGACAAAACCAGUUCACUGAGACCAUGGUAUUGCAGUUAAGAAAGAGUUUAACAGGAGGCUGGCCACAUGGAAGAAUUACAGUUAUUACAAAUUAGUCUCCCUGAAGGCUCAGAGGUCAGGGUUUUUCAUGGAUAGUUCGGUGAGCAGUGGAUUAGGGGUAAGUGCUGCUGAUUGGUUGGGGAUACAAUCAUAGGGGUGUGGAAAAUGGUCCUUGUGUGCUGAGUCACCUCUGGGUGGGAGGCCAUGGGACCCAUUGAGUCAUGAGUCACGAGGCUGGGUUGGGUCAGUGUGAAAAACAUCUCAAAAGACCAAUCUUAGGUUCAAAAUAGGUGAUAUUACCUGUAGGAGCAAUUGGGAAAGUUAUAAAUUAUAUGACCUCUUGGCCCCAUGACUUCUGAGCAGUAAGAGAUGAUAGAAACUAAACCUACAUUUUAUCAGCACUCAGGCCUCUUCCAUAAUCCUAAUCUUGUGGCCUUUCGUUAGUCUUAUAAAGGUGGUUUGGUAACUGCCCUCAAGCAAGGAGGGGAUCAGUUUUAGGGAGGUGCUAUUAUCAUCCUUGCUUCAAAGUUAAGCUGUAAACUAAAUUCCUCCCAUAAUUAGCUUGGCCUACACCCAGAAAUGAGCAAAGACAGCCAGCCUGUGAUGUUAGAAGCAAGAUGGAGUUAGUCAUGUUAGAUUUCUCUCACUGUCAUAAUCUUUGCAAGGGAGGUUCCAGGAAGGUCAUCCUACCUUUCCCCUCACCCUUCUCAUGUGACACAGGUCAUAAAGCCUAGGAAGGAUUUUCCGACCUUUCCCUGAAGCAGGUCGUAAGACCCUCAUUGGGGAGGUGCCAUUUCUAGACCAAGAGAAAAGGCACAUCCUUAUGUCUGAAGACACAGGGACACAGAGAAGAAUCUGAACAAACAGGUCUUGCUAAGUUCCCCCCAGUUUGUUUUCAUUAGAUCAUGCCCCUUUAUUCAAUGCUGUUUCUCCACAACUAUCCAUUUCUUCAUCAAGCCUAGCAUAAAAAAUACAGGUUUCACGGUUUCUUUGGGUCUUCAUUUCCUUAUAAAGUCUCCUGUACCAUGUAAAACUUAAAUAAGUUUCUCUGCUUUUCUCUUGUUGAUUCUGUCCUUUGUUUUAUAACCCUCAGACAUGAACCUAGUGAUGAGUGAGGGGAAGAUAAUUUAUUUUCCUCUACAGAUGCAAAAGGGAAAAGGGAACAAUCCCUAAACGGAAGUUAUGAUCCAGGGAUCAGAGGCUCAAAAGCAAGAUUAGGUUUAAAUGUAGAAAAAUACAUUCCUCUUUCAUUUUAGAUAUCCCAAAUGCCCAAAUCAACCCAGCUAUUUCUCAGAAGUCUGUUUCCCCUCCACCCUCUGCUCCUCUGUGUAGUGAAACUGUCUCGUUUGGGAGUAAAAUGGCCUGGCUUUCCUUACUGAGUAUACUCUCAAGACUAUUGCCUAUUACUUUUUUCCAUUCCUUCUUGAGAACUACGCUUUUUAAAACAAGAAUUGACUCCAUUUAUCUUUUUCUUUUAGCCUUCUGCUGGGGUAUGCCUUCUCUAAAGCAAUGAAUAAAAAAUGCUUUAGCUGAAUAAAUGGGGCAAGGAUCAAGGAGUACAAGCUAAUAUUUCACAAUAUUAUCCUGCCAUAAAUAAAAGUAUGGUUUAAAUGACAAUGGUGGGGUUAGGAGUUACAGGUCACUGAAACACCACCUUAUUCAUGCUACCAGCCCCUUGGCUUUCCUGAUGGCAGCAGGGAAGCAACACAUAGGUAGAAUUAUGAGCCAACAUCGUGACUGGAGAGGGAUUGAAAAUCUUAUUUGUUGUCUUCCUAGACUAUUACAGUUAUCUGUUGAAAUUAGACUCAAUUCUUUGGCGAAAGUACUCAUUUUUAAGGUCCAUAAUAAAUUGUAACUAUGUAGCCUUUGUUGCAUGAGUUUAGUAUGAGCUGAUUGGUGGGCCACAGUGAAAGGCAGAGGGAAAUGGAUGUUAACUAAGAGGUAGAAGUCCCCUUGAAGUUCUGACCCUGUCACUAAUGAAGUCUUUAUUUCCGUAUUUAGUAAUUGCCUUUUUUUUUUUUUUUUGAGACAGAGUCUUGCUCUGUCGCCAGGAUGGGGUACAGUGGCACAGUAUCUGCUCACUGCAACCUCCGCCUCCCAGGUUCAAGCAGUUCCCCUGCCUCAGCUUCCUGAAUAGCUGGGACUACAGGUGUCUGCCGCCAUGCCUGGCUAAUUUUUGUAUUUUUAGUAGAGACGGGGUUUCACUAUGUUGGCCAGGAUGGUCUCGAUCUCCUGACCUCGUGAUCUGCCCACCUCAGCCUCCCAAAGCUAGGAUUACAGACGUGAGCCACCAUGCCCGGCCAACUGCCUUCUUUAUAUCUCAUUUUAAAAAUUUAUAACAAAGAAGUGGGUUGAUUUUCAAGACCUAGUUGUGUUAGUUUGAAUGAGAUGCAUACAUUUGGCAAGUCUGGGGUCUAAGAAAAGAUAAAGAUCUGAAUGCUGAAAAUCUAGAGAAUUCAGGUUACUGGGGGAUAACUUAAAGUCACUAGGGAAUUCGGGUUACUGGGGGGAUAACUUAAGGUCACUAGGGAAUUCGGGUUACUGGGGGGAUAACUUAAGGUCACUAGAACCCAAAUGCAGGGAAGAGUUGGGUGCUCUUUGGCAAAUAAACAUUCCUGACUUAGCAUUUUUCUUAAACCCGAACGUGCCAGCUGUUUUUUUGUUUUUUUGUUUUUUUGUUUUGUGACCUCAGCCAGGCUUGCGUGUUUAUUCAUCACAUAUUCUAAGCUCAUAUACAACUGUGACCUGAUCCAGCCUUCAAGGAACUCACUCUUGAUUUUAGGAAUCUUUCCACCACUUCGAUUUCAUCUUACUCCUGAAACAGUCAGCCAGAACUGUCUAAUUCAGUCUAUACUUCUGAUACAAAACUCUACCCAGCAACCACUAUGGUUUUGUUGCUUUAGGUACGUGUUAGAAAGCACCCACAUCAAUUUACAGAAAAUCCUUAACUGAAUCUCUAGUCCCAGAGGAGUCAUAUUUUAUUAUAUGGUGCUUUUUAUUUAAAGAGAUCGGUUUAAUAGAAAUUACUCAGGCAUUUGAAGUGAUAGCUUUAAAAUGUGGGACUGGGGAAAAUAAGAACACUUGACCUCUCUCCAUAAAAUUGAAUUGUUCUUUAGGUUUAAAGUUUUGACAGACAAAGAGAAAGUGAGAGCAAGUGAGGGUGAAAAUAUAUCCUUAUUUGGUAAUGAGUACCCAUUAAGAGGACAGUAUAUUACAUUUCAUCUUCUUACUUCACAUUCCUGUUUUAAGGAUUUGUGAGCAAAGUGCUGUGAGACCUCUAGAGUUAAGAGGCUGGAGAUAGGUAGUUUUGAUGGUAUUUUAAGGAGUGCUCCAUAAUGUGUAGUGUCUGAGUGCUGAAGCUUAAUCAGCUUCAAUUAAAUCCAAAACAUACUGAAUAGCUCCUAUGUGUCUGGCAUUGAGCUGUGUGCCAAAGUGGUGGAAAGAUGUAAGAGCCACUGAGGCUUAGAGAUGAAAAGGAUCUUGGAGCCACUGGUUUCCUGCCUGCUGGAGUUUCACCAUCAAGGACCCUUUCGUUAUUUUCCUUCUCCCAUGCAUUUUAUUAAAAUUUUUGGUUUAGUAAACCAAAUUCACUAAUGGGAUGUUAUUUUCAUAUCAAAGAGUAUAAUUCUGCCAAUCAAGGCUUCUGAUCAGCAUAAAAUAAUUAGGUUUCAUACUGAAUGCACAAAUUCUAGUCAAAAGCAAAGCCAUUUGAUGACAUGUCUGCUAUGUUGCCAUUUGCUUUAAGAGAGGUAAAGGUAGCCUGACUUCUGUUCACUCUGUAGUACAGAAUACAUUGUUAACAAGUCAUAGGUAUGUUCUUUUAGGUUUCUAAUUACUGUCAGCCUCUCAUUUCAGACAGGUGAUGUGAUAAGGUGAAAUGAUUACUAUAUUUAGACUCAAAAGUCCUGAGUUUGAGUCCUCGUUUAACGAUCUAGUCCAUGAGCUUCAGUUUUCUCACCUGUUAAAUGGAAAUGAUGAUUAUUUCCUGGAAAUUGCAUUUCCAGGUUGUUUUGAAUGAUAAAUGAUAUGGUGUAUAUAUCAGCUGUUUGCAAACCAGAAAAAGCUAUUCUAUGGUAAACACAUGCAGUGGGCUGAAUUGUGUCUCCCAAAAUUCAUAUGUUGAAGUCCUCACCCCCAGGGCCUCAGAAUGUGACUGUAUUUGGAUCUAGGGUCUUCAAGAGAUAACUAAGUUAGAAUGAGGUCAUUUGGGUUGAUCCUAAUCCAACUGACUGAUAUCCUUAUAAGACGACGAAAUUUGGAUACAGAAAUACACAGAAGACAGGGAGAAGAUGGCCAUCUACAAGCUAAGGAGAGAGGCCUCAGAAGAAACACACCUGCCACACCUUGAAUUUGGACUUCUAGCCAUCAGAACUGUGGGAAAAUAAAUUUCUGUUGUUUAAGCCAGGAGUCCUCAACCCCCGGGCUGUGGACCUGUACCAGUCGGUGGCAUGUUAAGGACUGGGCUCCACAGCAGGAGGUGAGUGGUGGGCGAGUGAGCAUUACUGCCUGAGCUCCACCUCCCGUCAGAUCAGCAGUGGCAUUAGAUUCUCAUAGGAGCACAAACCCUAUUGUAAACUGAGCACGCAAGGGAUCUAGGUUGUGCGCUCCUUACGAGAAUCUAAUGCCUGAUAAUCUGAGAUUGAACAGUUUUAUCCCCAAACCAUCCCCUCCACCACCCCCGUGGUCUGUGGAAAAAUUGUCUUCCACAAAACUGGUCCCUGGUGCCGAAAAGGUUAGGGACCAGCGGCUCAAGCCACCCAGCCUGUGGUACUUUGUUACGGUAGCCCUGGCAAAUGAAUACAACACGUUUUAGACUAUGAUGUUACACAUGCAGUGUGUUGAGAGCCAAAGAACCCAAAUGAUUCGUGGUAUCUGCCCUUGAAGAGUUUUUAAUCUUUUUGGGCAUGAUGAAACAUACACAUGGAAAAUAAAAUAGCAUAUAACCAAGUGCCCAAAUCAGUAAUAAAUACAGUUGACUCCAUAAACAUUUAGGAACCUUCUAUCCCAUGUUUCCACAUUCUAUCCCAGUGGCUUUUGCCACUAAAUUUCUUCACCCACUAUUAGACUGAUGUUUUCAUCUUUCAGUAUCAGACUCAAGCUUUAAUCUAGAAAGAGGGGGUGGGGGGAUAAAUGCUAUACUUUGGAACCAGUCCGGAUAUUUUAAGUAUGUUUUUAAAAAGUAUAAUCCUCACAACAUGAAAGUUAUUAGUUCUAUUUUUCAGGUGAGAAGAGUUAAGGUCAAACAGACGAAAGCUAGUUAGUGGAGGGACUGGUAUUCCAAGCCCAUUCUGGUUAAACUAAAUCUUGUGUUCUUUCCACUAGAAAACUGCUUUUUGUCUUAAUUAUAAUUUUGUGACAAGGAUGUAUAGUCCAUUAAGGAAUAUAUACAACAGAAGAAGCAUUUAAGUGGACUUGAGGUUUGUGAAUCUGAACUAGUUUCUAUCGACUUUCACAUCAGCAGCUCCUAUUCUGGGGAAAGAGAAUGGAGGCUGGGAGUGAUCCUGACAAACCUUGAUGUGCAGGCUUGUGGAGAAACUGGAUUCACACCCAGGCUCGUGGAGUGUGGGAGAGGCUGGCCUGUCACAAUAUCAGGACAGCCUCUCUUAAUAACACUGCAGAAGGAAUCGAGGGCCCUGUGGUUUGCGGUCAGUGUGCCUCUUGUGCCAACUUUGGCACUACAAUGUCUUCAAUCACAUUAUCUUCCAAACCGGCUCUUCAUCCUAUGUCCUUAUUUCUGCUAAUGGUAUUCAUUUCUCUUAUUCAUGGACUCUGGGAAUCUUGGUGGUAUUAAAACCUGUCUCUUCUUUCCCCCUCGAUCUUCCACAUUCCAUUUCCUUUCAGCAGAAUCCCAAGCCUUCACCAUUUUUCAUUUUUGGUGCUGUUUCAGAGUUGCUGUGAACUUUACCUGGGUCCUCUAUCACCUUACCCAGCCAUUUGUCAUUCUGCCUGGUAAAGGGUUGAGCAGAUUUAUCUAUAUGAAUGAUCUUAUUUAAGCUAUUCUGUACACCUUCUGCUACUUAAACAGGCUCUAUGCUUCCACAUCUGCUCUCUAUCUGCCUAUGUGACUCAAACUUCAAUUGUCCAUCUCAGACAUCACAUCCUCCAUGAAGCCCUCUUGGGUUAUUUGAAGUAAUCUCUCUUCUGGGCUCUCAUAGCAUUACUGCUUGUAACUCUUUCAAAAGAUGAAUUUUGUGCUGUUGUUUACUUAAUGAGUACAAAUUUAGUGAUAAAUUUGAAAAACUUGUGUCCAUGUUUGAUAAAUAUGAAAAUCUCAUCAUUUUCAAUAUUUCUUAGAAUUUCAAAAUGUACUAAAUAUUAUUAAAAACCAAUCAUGGCAAUUUUAACAUUGAGUAUUCUUUUUUGAAAUAUGAAUGCUCCUCUCUCAAGACUGGUAUACUUUCUCACUCUACUCCCUUUUCAAGUGCCCUUAUCGAACUUUGCUGAUGAAAUCAUCUUUUCUUAGUUUGUUAGACUUUGGAUGGUGGAGACCUGUGCCUGCUACUUCUCUCAUCUCCUGAUACCUAAUGCAUAGUGUUCAGUAAGUAUUUAUUUGGUGAUAACAAUAUCAAAAACUAGAUAAUGCUUAGAAGAUCCAACACCUUCCAAAAUCUCUGUUAACCAGGUACUGAAAUAUGGUCAACCAGAUGAGCUGAAAUGUCAAGAACUUAUAGACACACAUGGUUUCAUGGUUGUGAAACUAGAAGAUGUGGCAUAUUUUACACAAUGGAGGGAAGAGCAAAGGUUAUGCAUGUGCGGAGGCAGAGCCCCUAGGCAGGUUUCCCUCUUUUCCUUCCUGUGCACUGAUUUUUAUUUUGGUGAACUGAAACAGGGGUCUAACAAACUGGUAUCUCAUUUGUCUUUAUAAACAGAACUGCCAGAUUGGCUUUGCAAUUCAGGGCCCUGUAGGGUGCCCACCUCCUCAGUUUGGGCAGCAGCAUUACAUCUGAGUCUUAGAAUAAAAAUGGAAAGCAAUGGCUCAACCCAUUGGUUUGUCACCAUCCACAUGAAGGAUCUCUAUUGGUAAAAAAACAGACUCCCGUGUUCAAGGCCCUGGGGCUGGAAUCAAAUCCAUCAUUCAUUUAUUUCGGUUUUUUAAGGCUAAAUACAUAGGGAAGAAAAUGAAAUGUGAGAAAGCUGUGCAUUUUCAAUGUCAUCUUGAAAGUGAGUAUCUUUAGACACAUAAAGUAGAUGAGUGGUUAACUUGGGCUGGGAGAGGGAGUGAGGAGUGGUUGUACAUGGCACAAGGUUUCUAUUUAGUGUGAUUGAAAUGUUCUAUAAUUUGAUUGAUGAUUGUACAGUUCUGUAAAUAAACUAAAAUGUAUUGAAUUGUAUAAUUAAAACAUGCAGAUUUUAUAUUUAAAAUAUACUUUGAUAAAAGUGUUUUAAAAAUGAAUAUCUCAUAGGGUAGAAUGAAAUGAAUAAGAGAAACAGUGAGGCAUCCAGGGGACUUUCUGCACAGUGGGUCUGUCAUUAGGCAGGUACGUUGCCACAGCCAGUUCUAAUGCCCACUCAUAGGCCAAUGCCUAGGACAAUUGCUCAGAUAUCGCCUCUGACAGGCAAGUGUUCCAUCAGUAACAGCAGGCAUCGGAAGAUGAUGCCAUUCCCUGCUGUUAGUAUGAUUAUAUUGACUUAGGUUUUUAAUUUUCUUUCUUGCUGUGUUUUUUUUUUUUCACCUUCUUAGCCUCUAAAGCAUGAACAUCUGUGUUUUUCAG